GGAGAAGUGUCAGCAACCAGUUGUCGAGCUGCUAAAGGAUGUGAAAAGCACAUUGAGCAGGAGUGAGAAUGUGAAACUCCAGGAACCAAAAGCUGUUUCUACUGACCUGAAGAACGUGUAUAAAAUUUCCCUUGACAUGAGGGAAGCACUGAAGAGAUUCAUAGGUGAGUGGAUUCUACUGGGACAUUCAGCUGUAUUGUGCCUGGGGAUCUGAACAGCGCCUGGGACCCAGGACACGCAUGGACCCAGCUGACAGGCUUGGAGCUGUGUGAUAGCUGGAGGCUGAUAUGCUCAGUGCUGGGCAGUUUGCCUGCUACUUACAGCCACCUGCUGGUACUUGCCCAAGUAUCUGACCAGGCCCCAUCACUCUGACAUCCUGACCCCUCCAUGGCUGAGUUAAUGGAUGUCCCUGACCCAGGUGCUGUGAGGCCUGGACUGGGCCCAUUGUGCUGGGUGCUGCACAGGCUGAUAACAGAUGACGUGUCUGUGCCUCUCUCCUCUUGGGACACGUGAGGGCUGCGUUGUGUGGCCACCGCUCAGCACUGCCCCAGCCCCCAUUAGCCAAGGCUGGCCGAACUUUCUGAGCUGGAGGAGGGGCCGGUCUGGCUGCUGUGGUCUGACCUGGGCCGUGUGUUACUGGGUAACAAGCUGAAUCCUACGGGCCCCUCGUCUGCUCUGAGCACAGCCCAGUGUGAGGUUGGGUCAGUGGUUUGCUGCUCAGUGAGUGAGACUCACUCACAAGAGUGUGACCCUGUCACAACAGCUGAGCGUGAGCUGCCCCCAUCCAAA